rnacentral:lncRNA from 1 species
GAGGGAGUAACAUCUCCAUGACAGCAAGGUGCAAGCGGAGAUAAGACAACCACCUGGGUCAGGAACUUGUAGAGAGGAUUCCUACAUGGAGUGGGAGACUGAAAUAAUAACCUCAAAGAUGCCUUCCAAUCAGAAGAUUUGGUGAUUCUUUCUGAGUUAUCAAACUGCCUUCCUUUGACCUUGCUCACAUGUAGAAAUCCAAGUCAGCGCAGCUUAACUUGGACUCACCACCUAUCAAGUGCUCGACAGCCACGUGUGCAGUGGUUCCUACGUGGAGCAGCAUACAUCCAGAGAUGCAAAUAUUAAUGAGGACAGUGCUAGUAACAGAGUUGCUGAGCAAUCUAUGUCCCCUUGUAAGAACCAGUGCCCCAGGGGAAGAAACAGAACUCCACAAGGUAGCAGUGUGGGUGUAGUACCCGCAUGUGCCCAUGUUAUGGGAAUGUAGAUGGGGAGUGACCACCGCCAACAGAAGUGUGGCCAUCUUGCCCGAGAUGCCUGAGGACCUCCUAUUUUUAGAUGCUGCUGCCCAAGGCCUGUAUUUCAUGCUAUGGCUUUUGUCAUUUGAAUUAUCAGUAGCUGUCUCGGAGCUAUUACGCUUCACUGGGCCCUGGAGGAUAUUGUCUUAUACAGUCCACUGGGUUUUGGAUAUGCAGUCUGUGCCUUUCAUUGCCUUCCUGGAAAAUAAUAACUAAACUCUUCCUCACCAGG